rnacentral:rRNA from 1 species
UCUGAUCCAGAGUACCACGAGACACGUGAAACCUUGUGGGAAGCAGGGAGGACCACCUCCCAAGGCUAAAUACUACCUGAUGACCGAUAGUGAAGCAGUACCGUGAGGGAAAGGUGAAAAGAACCCCGGGAGGGGAGUGAAAUAGAACCUGAAACCGUGUGCCUACAACCGGUCAAAGCCCCAUAUGAGGGUGAUGACGUGCUUUUUGUAGAACGAGCCAACGAGUUACGGUAUGUAGCAAGGUUAAGUACUUAAGGUACGGAGCCGAAGGGAAACCGAGUCUUAAUAGGGCGACUAGUUGCAUGCCGUAGACCCGAAACCGGGUGACCUAUCCAUGGCCAGGUUGAAGCGAGGGUAAAACUUCGUGGAGGACCGAACCACGUUGCUGUUGAAAAAGCAUGGGAUGAGCUGUGGAUAGCGGAGAAAUUCCAAUCGAACUCGGAGAUAGCUGGUUCUCCCCGAAAUAGCUUUAGGGCUAGCGUCGGAUAUGUGUAGUGGAGGUAGAGCACUGAAUGGGCUAGGGGGCAUAGCGCUUACCGAACCUUAUCAAACUCCGAAUGCCACAUACAUUAAGUCCGGCAGUCAGACUACGAAUGAUAAGAUCCGUGGUCAAAAGGGAAACAGCCCAGAUCGUCAGCUAAGGUCCCAAAGUGUAAGUUAAGUGGAAAAGGAUGUGGGAUUUCUAAGACAACUAGGAUGUUGGCUUAGAAGCAGCCACUCAUUUAAAGAGUGCGUAAUAGCUCACUAGUCGAGAGAUCCUGCGCCGAAAAUGUCCGGGGCUCAAACUUACCACCGAAGCUACGGGCUUGCAUUAGCAAGCGGUAGGGGAGCGUCGUAAUCGGGCUGAAGUCGUACCGUAAGGAGCGGUGGACUGAUUACGAGUGAGAAUGUUGGCAUUAGUAGCGAGAUGUAGGUGAGAAUCCUACAGGCCGAAUAUCUAAGGUUUCCUCAGGAAGGCUCGUCCGCUGAGGGUUAGUCGGGACCUAAGCCGAGGCCGAAAGGCGUAGGCGAUGGACAAUCGGUUGAUAUUCCGAUACCACUACCAUCGUUAUUAUCGAGGGUGUGACGGAGAAGGAUAGUGUGUGCUAGCGAUUGGAAAUGCUAGUCUAAGCGUUUAGGGAGUUACGGUAGGCAAAUCCGCUGUAACAAUUCUGAGGCGUGAUGGGGAAGGCCAUAUAGGCCGAAGUACAUGAUUCCAUGCUUCCAAGAAAAGCAUCUAGAGAGAGAAGUAGUGCCCGUACCGCAAACCGACACAGGUAGAUGAGGAGAGAAUCCUAAGGCCGGCGGAAGAAUUGCAGUUAAGGAACUAGGCAAAUUGACCCCGUAAGUUCGCGAGAAGGGGUGCCUGCGAGAGCAGGCCGCAGAGAAUAGGCCCAAGCAACUGUUUAGCAAAAACACAGGUCUCUGCUAAAGCGCAAGCUGAUGUAUAGGGGCUGACGCCUGCCCGGUGCUGGAAGGUUAAGGGGAACACUUAGCGCAAGCGAAGGUGUGAACUUAAGCCCCAGUAAACGGCGGCCGUAACUAUAACGGUCCUAAGGUAGCGAAAUUCCUUGUCAGGUAAGUUCUGACCCGCACGAAUGGCGUAAUGACUUGGGCACUGUCUCAACUG